rnacentral:rRNA from 1 species
ACGAGACGGGAUGGAAUGACCCUUCGGGGGAAUGAAAUCCUAGAAAGUGGCGAACGGGUGAGUAACGCGUGGGUAACCUGCCCUAUGGAAAGGAAUAGCCUCGGGAAACUGGGAGUAAUGCCUUAUAAUAUACGAGAGUCGCAUGGCUUUUGUAUUAAACGCUCCGGUGCCAUAGGAUGGACCCGCGUCCCAUUAGCUAGUUGGUGAGAUAACAGCCCACCAAGGCAACGAUGGGUAACCGGUCUGAGAGGGCGAACGGUCACACUGGAACUGAGACACGGUCCAGACUCCUACGGGAGGCAGCAGUGGGGAAUAUUGCGCAAUGGGGGCAACCCUGACGCAGCAAUACCGCGUGAGUGAAGAAGGUUUUCGGAUCGUAAAGCUCUGUUAUUGGGGAAGAAAAAAGACGGUACCCAAGAAGAAAGUCCCGGCUAACUACGUGCCAGCAGCCGCGGUAAUACGUAGGGGACAAGCGUUGUCCGGAUUUACUGGGCGUAAAGGGCACGCAGGCGGUUUUUUAAGUCAGAUGUGAAAGGUACCGGCUCAACCGGUGACAUGCAUUUGAAACUGAAAGACUUGAGUAUUGGAGAGGCAAGUGGAAUUCCUAGUGUAGCGGUGAAAUGCGUAGAUAUUAGGAGGAACACCGGUGGCGAAGGCGGCUUGCUGGACAAAUACUGACGCUGAG